rnacentral:misc_RNA from 1 species
GAUGAAGAACGUAGCGAAAUGCGAUAAGUAGUGUGAAUUGCAGAAUUCAGUGAAUCAUCGAAUCUUUGAACGCACAUUGCGCCCCUUGGUAUUCCAUGGGGCAUGCCUGUUCGAGCGUCAUCUACACCCUCAAGCUCUGCUUGGUGUUGGGCGUCUGUCCCGCCCCCGCGCGUGGACUCGCCCCAAAUCCAUUGGCAGCGUUCCUUGCCCCCUCUCGCGCAGCACAUUGCGCUUCUCGAGGGCGGCUCCGGGACGCGAUCCAGCAAGAUGACCACCGUCUUUGACCUCGGAUCAGGUAAGGAUACCCGCUGAACUUAAGCAUAUCAAUAAGCGGAGGA